CUUUGUCUCCACUUUUUCCUAUUUAAAAUGUUUUCUGCAUUUUCCAAAGUUUGGCGUGGAGAAGAACGACUAGUCCAUGCGAAUUAUUUUUGGGGUUCAUGGAAAAACACCCCUUUGAGCAUAAAAUAUUACAUUAUUUAAAUCCACAAACCAUUUUUUGGAUAUCAUCUAUUCACAUUCCCUCAGGUGAACUUACACCAUAGAGACCACAACCACCUCCCCUUCCCUUGUUAGUUCCACCCCCAAUUGAUGCCAACCCCAACUAGGCCAGCCCUAGCACAACCCCUAUCCCACACAACCCAGCACAAAUGCAUGCACCCCCCCGUACCUGCAACCUAGAGAAAUCCCCUCCCUUUCUUCGUCCCACUCCCGAUGCAAUUUGAAGAACCCUUCUUUGAUUUGCACACCCACACAUUCUCUCCAAUUAUUUCUGGUGUUCCAGUUGCCCCCUUGCCUCCAGGAGCGACAAUGAAAAAGAAAUUGAUAUUUUGACUCUUGUGGUUUUGCUAACUAUUUUCCAGAAUUUUAUGACACAACUUAGCCUUUUUUCUUCUUCUUUGCAUGUUUUUUUAGGGUCUUUUUUUUUUUAUCGAUAAACAAAUUUUUAUUGGUCAAAAGAGAGACAAAAUGCCCAAGUAUACGAGACAUAUACAAGAGUAACGUCUAGGUGUGCUAGUUUAGAGAUACAAGGAAAUCAUGAAAAGACUUGCCAUGAAAAUCAAUUACAAUCAAUCAAUGGAGUAAAGUAUUGAAAAACAAAAAUCUAAGCUCUUCUAUUGAUCUCUCUUGAUCUUCAAAGCAUCUUGCAUUCCGCUCCCUCCAAAUGCACCACCAUAGACAUAUAGGUAACAUCUUCCAUAUGGAUGCAAUUUGAGAGUUGCCCCUAAUACCUCUUCAAGAAGCUAAAAAAUCACAUACUCUUUCCGGCAUCACCCACGCUAACCCCGAUCGUGCAAAGACUUCAAUCCACAAGGUCAUGGCAAUCUCACAAUGUAGUAAUAGAUGGUCAAUGGACUCUCCGCUCUUCUUACACUUAUAACACCAGUCCAUAACUAUAAUGCCACGUUUCCUCAGGUUAUCUAUAGUAAGAAUCUUCCCUAAAGAGGCUGUCCAUACAAAAUAAGCCGCCUUUAGAGGUGCCUUUGUCUUCCAAAUGCUCUUACAUUGGAACGGGUCUGAGUUGUGCAUGGUCAAGGAAUGGUAGAAAGAGCAGGCCGUAAAAACUCCCUUCUUAGAAGGGCGCC